rnacentral:tRNA from 1 species
AAAAAAUUAGUUAAAUCCUAUAACACAGACUUGUCAAGUCUGAAUUAUCUAAAAAGAUAUUUUUUA